CUCACCUUCCAAUGCUGCAGCGCAUGAAAACAACUGUGAUACAAGGUUGUUGAGCUAUGAUCUCAGCUUUUACAUGUCUUGUGUGACCAUCAAUAAUCAACAUAUUAUACAACUUUUUAUGAAGAUCAAACUUCAAGAAUCCUAGGUUUCUUUGCUAUAUAAAUACUAAAAUAGAUGCCCAUACUGCUGGAUCAUAGUUCAACUCUCAAGAAUCAUCCUUCUCCCUCAGCAUUUGCUUCAGAACUAUCAUAGAAGUUACUGCAACAGGCUUGCGUGUCUGUGCAUUUUAUUGGUGCAUAAACAGUGCUUAUUUGGAAAGAACUCGUUGAUAUGAAUGCAGAUCUCUGGACAAGUAUAUGCACAUAUGAAGUUGGAAGAUGCAACUCUGGUUUUGUAGACAUUUUUAGUGCAAAUUCAUGUGUCAGUCACAUCUUUGUCAUCUUUUUAAAUAUACUUCUCUUCAUAAGUUAUCUCACUGUCAUCCUGUAUAAAUCAUCGCGGAGUGAUAUUGUAGUUUCCCAAUCACGUCAAGGCUACGUGCCACUGGCAUUAUGGUCAUUCGUUUUGAACUGUGGCAUUGGCUUGCUUUAUUCUGGUCUAGGAAUUGCAAUCAUUACUCAAAAAAUCAGUUCAGAAAGCACCCUCUUACCACUACAUCAGUGGCUAGUGGUGUUCUUCCAAGGUUUCAUAAUGGUGAUUCUUGGUACUUUUAGUUUCAGAAAGCAACAAUAUGCACCUGAUAUUGCGUUGAAGCUUUUAUCAGCUCUCUUUGUACUCUAUGCUGCAUUCAUCAGCAUCUCAUCAGGCUGGGAAGUCAUUGCCUACAGCAAAGCAUCCUUGAAAAGCGUUCUUGAUGUGUUAACUAUGCCUGGAGCAAUUUUAUUUUUCUUAUGUGUUUUAGCAGAACUAAAACAUGCAAACACUGAAACUGGCAUCGACAAAGCUACUCUUUAUACACCUUUGCAAGGUGAAGGGGCCGGUGCUGGAAAUAAAAUCAGCGAGGAUGAAAAUGUUACUCCUUUUAGUUCUGCAGGAAUUUUGAGUAGAAUGUCCUUCUGGUGGUUAAACCCAAUACUGAAGAAGGGUAAAGUGAAAGUUUUUGAGGACAGAGACCUACCAAAAUUACGGCAUACAGAUCGCGUGGAAACCUGUUACUCCUUGUUUAUGGAGCAUCUGACUGCACAGACAGAAAAAAGAACUUCUGGAUCUCCUCCAGUUUUGUCAAGUAUAUUUAUCUGGCAGCGGAAAGCUAUCCUACUGUCGGGUCUUUUUGCAUUAACCAAGGUACUUGCACUUGCUACCGGCCCCCUUCUACUUAAAGCUUUCAUUCAGGUUGCUCAAGGCAAAGAAGCAUUUAAGUACGAGGGAUAUGCACUGGCUGCUGGCUUAUUUCUGGCCAAAUGUUUGGAAUCACUGUCAGAGAGACAAUGGAACUUUCGUACUAGAUUAAUUGGACUUCAAGUCAGAUCUACGUUAUCUGCUGCUAUUUACCAGAAGCAACUUAGACUUUCAAAUGCUGCUAAAGUAUUUCAUUCUCCAGGCCAAGUAAUAAAUUAUGUCAUAGUAGAUGCUUAUAGAAUUGGUGAAUUUCCGUACUAUUUUCAUCAGAUGUGGGCAACAAGUCUUCAAUUAUCUCUAGCGCUUCUUAUCUUUUACUAUUCUGUAGGCAAAGCAACGAUAGCAGCUUUAUUUGCAGUAAUUUUGAUAGUGUUGGGAAAUUCUCCAAUGGCCAAGCUGCAACACAAGUAUCUGACAGAACUCAUGGUAACACGAGACAGAAGGCUCAGGGCUAUUACAGAGGCAGUGACAAACAUGAAAAUAUUGAAGUUGUAUGCUUGGGAGACACACUUUAGGACCGUUAUACAAGGAUUGAGGAAAGAAGAAGCAAGGUGGAUAUCUGCGGUCCUGUCUCAAAGAGGCUAUUAUUUAGCUCUCUUUUGGUCAUCCACAAUCGUAAUAACAAUAGUUACUUUCUGGGCGUGCUAUUUCAUGAAUAUUCCUCUAGAUACUAGCACUGUAUUUACGUUUUUGGCAGCAGUCCGUAUCAUUCAAGAGCCUAUUAGGGUUUUACCUGAUGUUGCCGGCAUUUUCAUUGAAGCAAAGGUUUCUUUAGCUCGCAUUGCAAAGUUUCUUGAGGAACCUGAACUGCAAAAAAGAAGUGCAAAAAGUCACUUCAAGUAUAUUGAAAAGUCUAUAGUGGUUAGAGGAGCAAGUUUUUCCUGGGAUAUCAAUUCUUCCAAAGCCACAUUGGAAAAUAUAGAUAUAAAUAUAAAACCUGGUGAAAAGGUAGCGAUAUGUGGAGAAGUUGGCUCAGGUAAAUCAACCCUCUUAGCUGCAAUUCUCAGAGAAGUUCCAAGCAUUAAGGGCACGGUCCAGGUCUAUGGAAAGAUAGCUUAUGUUGCUCAGACAGCAUGGAUACAAACAGGCACCAUACAAGAGAACAUACUCUUCGGGUCAUUAAUGGAUCAAGAAAAGUACCAAGACGUACUAAAAAGAUGUUCACUUGUACAGGACCUGGAAAUUCUUCCUUCUGGUGAUCAAACAGUAAUAGGGGAAAGAGGUGUUAAUCUCAGUGGUGGGCAGAAGCAGCGGGUUCAACUUGCCCGUGCACUAUAUCAAGAUGCAGACACAUACCUUCUUGAUGAUCCAUUCAGCGCAGUUGAUGCACAUACUGCAACCAGUUUAUUUAAUGAGUAUGUCAUGGGAGCAUUAUUAGAGAAAACUGUUUUGCUCGUGACACACCAAGUCGACUUCCUUCCUGUAUUCGAUGUUGUUCUGCUGAUGUCUGAGGGAAAAAUCCUUCAAGCUGAUAAUUACCAUCAUUUACUGGCCCAUAGUCCUGAAUUUCAAAACCUUCUCAUUGCACACAAUGACACUACCAAUUUAGAGAAGCGGACUACUUAUGGUUCUCAACAAAGACCUAGAAUUUCCAGCCAAGAGAUCCAAAAUAUUGAUGCUAAAGAUGAGUUAAUAGAAGGUUCAGGAGACCAGCUUAUAGAAAAAGAACAGAAAGAGACCGGAGACACUGGUCUAAAACCAUACAUCCAAUACUUGAAGCAAAACCAGGGAUUCUUAUACCUCUCAGUAUCAGUUGUAUUUCAUAUGGUAUUCAUAGUUGGUCAAUUACUACAAGGUGUCUGGUUGGCUGCUGAACUACAGAAUCCUGAUAUAAGCACCUUUUUACUGAACUGGAUAUACACUGUUAUUGGGUGUGUGAUGUCACUUGGCUUACUCUUUAGAUCUUAUGCAGUAGUUGUACUAGGUACUAAGGCAUCAGAGUCUAUUUUUUCAAAGGUUAUAUUCUCCGUUUUUCGAGCCCCUAUGUCCUACUUUGACUCGACACCUGUUGGAAGGAUAUUAAGCCGGGUGUCUUCUGAUCUCAGUAUCGUGGACCUCGAUUUGGCAAUGAAAUUUACCAUGGCGAUUGGAACAACAAUGAACACGUAUCUCAGCUUUGGAAUAUUGUCUGUACUUACGUGGCCUAUCUUAUUUCUCAUCAUUCCCACAGUUUAUAUAUCCAAAGUUUUACAGAAAUUUUACCUGGCUUCUGCUAAUGAGUUGAUGCGUAUUGAUGGCACAACAAAGUCUUCAGUUGCAAGCCAUCUUGCUGAGUCCAUUGCUGGUGCAGUGACUAUCAGAGCAUUUGAAGAAGAAGAUCGAUUCAUUUCACAGAACUUUGAUCUUAUUGAUGCCAACUCAAAUCCUUAUUUCCACAGUUUCUCAGCAAAUGAGUGGUUGAUACAACGUCUAGAAAUAUUAUGUGCUGUUAUUGUCUCAUUCUCAGCACUUGGCAUGACUCUGAUGCCUCUUGAAGCUUCUAAAUCAGGAUAUGUUGGAAUGGCAUUAUCAUAUGCACUUUCCUUGAAUGUGUUCCUCGUAUAUUCUGUACAGAUGCAGAGCAUGUUAUCAAAUUCCAUCAUUUCUGUGGAGAGAUUAGAACAGUACAUGCACAUUCGUAGUGAAGCCCCUGAAACGAUAGAUGAAAACCAGCCUCCACCUAACUGGCCGAGUGUUGGGAGAGUAGAGAUCAGCAAUCUAAAGGUCAAAUACCAGCCAAAUGCCCCUUUAGUUCUGCGUGGAAUUAGUUGCAUUUUUGAAGGAGGGCAUAGUAUUGGCAUAGUUGGAAGGACUGGUAGUGGGAAAACAACUUUGAUAAGUGCAUUAUUUCGCCUUGUAGAACCUACUGAAGGCAAGAUUAUAAUAGAUGACAUAGAAAUCUCCACAAUUGGGCUUCAUGACCUUAGAUCACAGCUUGGCAUCAUUCCACAAGAUCCGACACUUUUCAGUGGUUCUGUGAGAUAUAACAUAGACCCCUUAGCAGAACAUACUGAUAUUGAAAUUUGGCAGGUCCUUGAGAAAUGUCACCUUCGGGAUGCUGUUCAAGAGAAAGAAGAAGGGCUAAACUCAUUGGUUGCUCAAGAUGGUUCAAACUGGAGCAUGGGGCAGAGACAAUUGUUUUGCUUGGCACGGGCACUGCUAAAGAGGAGGAAGAUCCUAGUUCUGGAUGAAGCAACUGCAUCAAUCGACAAUGCAACAGAUACCAUAAUACAGAGAACCAUAAGGACAGAGUUUGCAACCUGCACUGUAAUAACAGUGGCUCACAGAAUACCAACUGUGAUCGACUGCACAAUGGUGCUGUCAAUGAAAAACGGAGAGAUGGUGGAGUACGAUGAACCUAAUAAACUGUUGAAUCGGGAGGGUUCGCUGUUCAGGAAGCUAGUUGAGGAAUACUGCUCUUAUUCUGGUGACCACAAUCAACAUCCCGGGGUCGAAAUUAAUCCUGGUUCCGCCAGUGGUGAUCGGUACUUGGUAGUGUAUGAAUAUGAUGAUCACUACAUGCUAGGUUAUUGUGUGGAGAUGGUGGAGUAUAAUGAUCCUAAUAAACUGUUAAACAAAGGAAGAUUGAUUGCAUUGCUCAGUGAGAAUUUAAUACAUAUUAAAUUUUUGUGGUUGGAGAAUCUGCUGGAUCAUACUUCAAACUCUCAAGAAUCUUCCCUUCUUCCUCUGUAUGAUAUCUGCAUUUGCUUCAAGUCGAUCGUAGAAGAAAUUGAAACAAGAAUGAAAGAAGGCGCCCUCUAUACACCUUUGCGAGGUGCAGAGGCUGGAGAUGACAUAAAAAUCAACAAGGUCGAAAAUGUUACUCCUUUCAGUAACGCAGGAAUUCUGAGUAUAAUGUCCUUCUGGUGGUUGAAUCCGCUACUGAAGAAGGGUAAAGUUAAAGUUUUGGAGGACAGUGAUCUUCCGAAAUUAAAGCAUGAAGAUCGUGCAGAGACGUGUUACUCCAAGUUUAUGGAGCAGCUGACAGCGCAGACCAAAAAAGGAAUUUCUGGUCCUCUUCCAAUUUUAUCAACUAUACUUAUCUGGCAGCUUAAAGCAAUCUCAGUGUCCGGUCUUUUUGCAUUGAUCAAGGUAAUUUCACUUGCUUCUGGUCCUCUGCUACUUAAAGCUUUCAUUCAGGUUGCUCAAGGGAAGGAGGCUUUUAAAUACGAGGGCUAUGCCUUAGCUGCAGGCUUAUUUUUGGUCAAAGGUAUGGAAUCACUUUCUGAAAGACAAUGGAACUUUCAAACAAGACUGAUUGGAGUCCAAGUAAGAUCUAUGCUCACUGCAGCAAUUUACCAGAAGCAACUUAGACUAUCAACUGCUGCUAAAGCAUCUCAUUCUCCGGGCCAGAUACUGAAUUAUGUCAUAGUAGAUGCUUAUAGAAUUGGUGAAUUUCCAUAUUUUUUUCAUCGGAUAUGGGCAACAAGUCUGCAAUUAUGUCUUGCUCUUCUUGUCAUUUACUAUACUGUAGGCAAAGCGACAAUUGCAGCUCUACUAGCAGUGAUUUUAAUAAUAGUCGGAAAUUCUCCAAUGGUUAAAUUGCAACACAGGUACCUGACAAAACUCAUGGUAACACAAGACAUAAGGCUCAAGGCCAUCACGGAGGCAGUGACAAACAUGAAAGUACUGAAGUUGUAUGGUUGGGAGACCCACUUUAGACAUGUUGUAGAAGGAUUGAGGAAAGAAGAAGAAAGGUGGUUGUCCGCAAUUCUGACACAAAGAGGCUAUUACCUAGCACUCUUUUGGUCAUCCCCUCUCGUAAUUACAGUAGUAACUUUCUGGGCAUGCUAUCUGAUGGGAGUUCCUCUAGAUACUAGCAACGUGUUUACAUUUCUUGCAACAAUCCGUAUUGUCCAAGAGCAUAUUAGGCUUUUACCUGAUGUUGUAGGAAGUUUCAUUGAAGCAAAGGUUGCAUUAACUCGUAUCCAGCAGUUCCUUGAGGAAUCUGAAUUGCAAAAAAGAAGUGAAGGUCAUUGCAAGGUAAUUGCACAGUCUAUAUUAAUUAAAGAAGCAAGUUUAUCAUGGGAUAUCAAUUCCUCAAAGCUCACUCUGGAGAAUAUAAAUUUGAAUAUACAAUCUGGCGAGAAGGUUGCAAUUUGCGGAGAAGUUGGCUCAGGUAAAUCAACCCUUUUAGCUGCAAUUCUUGGAGAAGUUUCAUGCACUAAGGGCACGGUCCAGGUGGAUGGAAAGGUAGCUUAUGUUGCUCAGACAGCAUGGAUCCAAACAGGCACUAUACAAGAGAAUAUACUCUUCGGGUCAUCUAUGGAUCAAGAAAAGUACCAUAAAGUACUAAAAAGAUGUUCACUUGUACAGGACCUGCAAAUUCUUCCAUGUGGUGAUCAGACAGUAAUAGGGGAAAGAGGUGUUAACCUCAGCGGUGGGCAGAAACAGCGGGUUCAACUUGCUCGUGCACUAUAUCAAGAUGCAGAUAUAUACCUUCUUGAUGAUCCAUUUAGCGCUGUGGAUGCACAUACUGCAACCAGCUUAUUUAAUGAGUAUGUCAUGGGAGCAUUAUCAGAAAAAACGGUUAUGCUUGUCACCCACCAAGUUGACUUCCUCCCUGUUUUUGAUAUUAUUCUGCUAAUGUCUGAAGGGAAAAUCCUGCAAGCUGAUAAGUACCAGCAGUUAGUUCAUAGUCCAGAUUUUCAAAAUCUUUUGAUUGUGAAAAGUGAUGCUACCAAUCCGGAAGGACGAAUGAGUUAUAGUUCUCCACAAAGUCCUACAGUUUCCAACCAAGAGAUACAAGAAAUUGAUGUUGAAGAAGAGCUUCACAAAGGGCUGGGAGACCAGUUGAUUGAAAAAGAGCAGAAAGAGACCGGAGACCGCGGUCUAAAACCUUACAAACAAUACUUAAAGCAAAACCAGGGAUUCUUAUACCUUUCACUAUCAGUCAUAUUCCAUAUGUUAUUCAUAGUUGGUCAAUUAGGUCAAGGUGUUUGGUUGGCUGCUGAACUUCAAAAUCCCGCUAUAAGCAUUGUCAUACUAAAUGCAGUAUACACUGGGAUUGGGUGUGUAAUGUCAGUGUGCCUACUUAUAAGAUCUUAUGUAGUAGUUGAAUUAAGUACUAAGGCGUCGGAAUCUAUUUUUUCCAAGGCAGUAGUGUCAAUCUUUCGAGCACCUAUGUCCUACUUUGAUUCGACACCUGUUGGAAGGAUACUGAGCCGGUUAUCUUCUGAUCUGAGUAUCAUAGACCUUGAAGUGGCAAUAAAAUUUGCAACUGCAAUCGGAUCAGCAUUGAACACGUGUCUCAGCUUUGGAAUAUUGGCUGUACUCACCUGGCCUAUCUUAUUUCUCAUCAUUCCCACAGUUUAUAUUACCAUAGUUUUACAGAAAUUCUACUUAGCUUCGGCUAAUGAGUUGAUGCGUAUUAAUGGCACGACAAAGUCUUCAGUUGCAAGCCAGCUUGCCGAGUCAAUUGCUGGAGCGGUGACCAUCAGAGCCUUUAAAGAAGAAAAUAGGUUUAUUUCUGAAAACUUCCGUCUUAUUGAUGCAAACUCAAUUCCAUACUUCCACAGUUUUUCAGCAAAUGAGUGGUUGAUACUACAUCUGGAAGGAUUAUGUGCAGUUAUCGUCUCAUUCUCUGCACUUGGCAUGACUUUGAUGCCUCUUGGAGCUUCUAAAUCAGGAUAUGUCGGGAUGGCUCUAUCAUACGCCCUUUCAAUGAAUGAAUUCCUUGUAUAUGCUAUAAAUAUGCACUGCAUGCUGUCAAAUUUCAUCAUUUCCGUGGAGAGGCUAGAACAGUGCAUGCACAUUCCUAGUGAGGCCCCCGAAAAACUAGAAGAUAACCGUCCUCCACUUAACUGGCCAGUUUCUGGGAGAGUAGAAAUCAACAAUCUAAAGGUAAAAUACCGACAAAAUGCGCCUCUAGUUUUGCGUGGAAUCAGUUGCAUCUUUGAAGGAGGACAUAGAAUUGGAAUUGUUGGCAGGACUGGUAGUGGGAAGACAACUUUGAUAAGUGCCUUGUUUCGCCUUGUAGAACCUACGGCUGGAAAGAUAAUAAUAGAUGACAUAGAUAUCUCUAAAAUUGGGCUUCAUGACCUCAGAACACAGCUUAGCAUCAUCCCACAAGAUCCAACACUUUUCAGUGGUUCCGUCAGAUAUAACAUAGACCCCCUCUUUGAGCAUACUGAUAGUGAAAUUUGGCAGGUUCUUGAGAAAUGUCACCUCCGAGAGGCUGUUCAAGAGAAAGAAGAAGGGCUGAACUCCUUGGGUAAGAAAACAGUUCUGUAAAAAGCUAAGUAAAGAAUAUACAUACCUCUGUGUUUGUUACUAACAUAAAGAUGAAUGGCAGUUGUGGAGGACGGAUCAAAUUGGAGCCUGGGACAAUGUCAGUUAUUUUGCCUGGGACGGGCAUUAUUAAAGAGGAGGAAGAUCCUAGUUCUUGAUGAAGCAACAGCAUCAAUUGACAAUGCAACAGACACUAUAAUACAGAAAACCAUAAGGAUGGAAUUUGCAGGCUGCACCGUGAUAACAGUGGCUCACAGAAUACCAACUGUGAUUGACUGCACAAUGGUGCUUUCCAUGAGAAAUGGAGAGAUGGUGGAGUAUGAUGAGCCCAAUAAAUUGUUGAAUCGGGAUGGCUCGCUGUUCAGGAAGCUAGUUGAGGAAUACUGGUCUUAUUCUGGUGCCCACAAACAACAUCAAACAAUUUAAAGAAUUUCAGGGUUGUAGAGUGAUAACCAGAGCUAUGGCUCAGAGAAUACUUGCAUGCAUAACAUAUAGUACGGCUGUACGGGGCAUUUGGAUUGUGGGGGGAAUGGGAAAGUGGGGCAUGGGAAUGGAGGCUAUUAGGUUUGGUUACCCCAAAAUUGGAAUAAGAUUCC